UUGUCGUCAGCUCGUGUCGUGAGAUGUUGGGUUAAGUCCCGCAACGAGCGCAACCCUUAUUGUUAGUUGCCAUCAUUCAGUUGGGCACUCUAGCGAGACUGCCGGUGACAAACCGGAGGAAGGUGGGGAUGACGUCAAAUCAUCAUGCCCCUUAUGACCUGGGCUACACACGUGCUACAAUGGGAAGUACAACGAGUCGCUAGACCGCGAGGUCAUGCAAAUCUCUUAAAGCUUCUCUCAGUUCGGAUUGCAGGCUGCAACUCGCCUGCAUGAAGCCGGAAUCGCUAGUAAUCGCGGAUCAGCACGCCGCGGUGAAUACGUUCCCGGGCCUUGUACACACCGCCCGUCACACCACGAGAGUUUGUAACACCCGAAGUCGGUGAGGUAACCUUUUUGGAGCCAGCCGCCUAAGGUGGGAUAGAUGAUUGGGGUGAAGUCGUAACAAGGUAGCCGUAUCGGAAGGUGCGGCUGGAUCACCUCCUUU
rnacentral:rRNA from 1 species